UGGAUUGAUCACUGUCCUCCAUGACAAUCUUUUGAUCGAAAGCAUAUAAAAAUUAACUACUAAUUAAUAUAUGUCUGAAAUUCUUAAUACUUUAUGAAUAUACAAAAAUCAUCUUUGUUAAUUUAUAGGAUAAAUCAUGGAUACAUAAACAUGAUUGAAAUGAAAAAAUUCUUUAUUGAUAAUAAAAAGAUUACAAGUACA
rnacentral:lncRNA from 1 species